GCUCGUACAGCUCAGUGGUAGAGCGUGCGGUUAGCAUGUGCGAGGUCCUGGGUUCAAUUCCCAGUAUCUCCA
rnacentral:tRNA from 1 species